rnacentral:rRNA from 1 species
AGAACGAACGCUGGCGGCAGGCUUAACACAUGCAAGUCGAACGCCCCGCAAGGGGAGUGGCAGACGGGUGAGUAACGCGUGGGAAUCUACCUGGUUCUACGGAAUAACUGAGGGAAACUUCAGCUAAUACCGUAUACGCCCCAAGGGGGAAAGAUUUAUCGGUGCCAGAUGAGCCCGCGUUGGAUUAGCUAGUUGGUGGGGUAAUGGCCUACCAAGGCGACGAUCCAUAGCUGGUCUGAGAGGACGAUCAGCCACACUGGGACUGAGACACGGCCCAGACUCCUACGGGAGGCAGCAGUAGGGAAUCUUGCGCAAUGCGCGAAAGCGUGACGCAGCAACGCCGCGUGGGGGAAGAAGGCCUUCGGGUUGUAAACCCCUUUCAGUUGGGACGAAGCUUUGCCGGUGAAUAGCCGGUUGGAGUGACGGUACCUUCGAGAAGAAGCCCGGCUAACUACGUGCCAGCAGCCGC